rnacentral:snRNA from 1 species
UUGCUUGCUUCGGCAGUACAUAUACUAAAAUUGGAAUGAUGCAGAGAAGAUUAGCAUGGCCCCUGUGCAAGUAUAACAUGCAAAUUUAUGAACUGUUCCAUAUUUUU